GGCCACUGCCCGGGGCUGCCCGAGCACAGAUCCUGGCCCCGGAGCCCCCAUGGGGCAGGGACGAGGGGGAGAGAGGCACCGAGCGACAGGGAGACUGUACGGAUGCAUUUAUGAAGGCAAGUGUUGGGUCUUAUUGGUGCCGCACAAGAAACCAACGUGUGAAACCCAGACAUUCACUGUUAGAAACAGGAAGAAGCUAUGGGCCCUUGCUGCAGAUUCUGCAAAAGAUGUACCAAGGCUGAGGAAAGUGGCAAAAAGGGAAGAAAUGCCAUAGCAUAACUUUGGGAUGGCAGGUAUUGCUGAAACAAAGAAGUCCAAGAGUACCAGGGAGUUGCCUCCCCUUCAGGAGGAAGGGAAGAGAAACAACUUGCCAGAUGAAGUGCUGAUCCAUUUCACCUAUGCAAA